GGGUUGUGAGGUUAAGCGACUAAGCGUACACGGUGGAUGCCCUGGCAGUCAGAGGCGAUGAAGGACGUGCUAAUCUGCGAAAAGCGUCGGUAAGGUGAUAUGAACCGUUAUAACCGACGAUGUCCGAAUGGGGAAACCCAGUGUGAUUCGUCACACUAUCGUUAACUGAAUACAUAGGUUAACGAGGCGAACCGGGGGAACUGAAACAUCUAAGUACCCCGAGGAAAAGAAAUCAACCGAGAUUCCCCCAGUAGCGGCGAGCGAACGGGGAGCAGCCCAGAGUCUGAAUCAGCUUGUGUGUUAGUGGAACGGUCUGGAAAGUCCGACGGUACAGGGUGAUAGUCCCGUACACCAAAAUGCACAGGUUGUGAACUCGAAGAGUAGGGCGGGACACGUGGUAUCCUGUCUGAAUAUGGGGGGACCAUCCUCCAAGGCUAAAUACUCCUGACUGACCGAUAGUGAACCAGUACCGUGAGGGAAAGGCGAAAAGAACCCCGGCGAGGGGAGUGAAAAAGAACCUGAAACCGUGUACGUACAAGCAGUGGGAGCACCUUCGGGUGUGACUGCGUACCUUUUGUAUAAUGGGUCAGCGACUUAUAUUCUGUAGCAAGGUUAACCGUAUAGGGGAGCCGCAGGGAAACCGAGUCUUAACUGGGCGUUAAGUUGCAGGGUAUAGACCCGAAACCCGGUGAUCUAGCCAUGGGCAGGUUGAAGGUUGGGUAACACUAACUGGAGGACCGAACCGACUAAUGUUGAAAAAUUAGCGGAUGACUUGUGGCUGGGGGUGAAAGGCCAAUCAAACCGGGAGAUAGCUGGUUCUCCCCGAAAGCUAUUUAGGUAGCGCCUCGUGAAUUCAUCUUCGGGGGUAGAGCACUGUUUCGGCUAGGGGGUCAUCCCGACUUACCAACCCGAUGCAAACUACGAAUACCGAAGAAUGUUAUCACGGGAGACACACGGCGGGUGCUAACGUCCGUCGUGAAGAGGGAAACAACCCAGACCGCCAGCUAAGGUCCCAAAGUCAUGGUUAAGUGGGAAACGAUGUGGGAAGGCACAGACAGCCAGGAUGUUGGCUUAGAAGCAGCCAUCAUUUAAAGAAAGCGUAAUAGCUCACUGGUCGAGUCGGCCUGCGCGGAAGAUGUAACGGGGCUAAACCAUGCACCGAAGCUGCGGCAGCGACACUAUGUGUUGUUGGGUAGGGGAGCGUUCUGUAAGCCUGCGAAGGUGUGCUGUGAGGCAUGCUGGAGGUAUCAGAAGUGCGAAUGCUGACAUAAGUAACGAUAAAGCGGGUGAAAAGCCCGCUCGCCGGAAGACCAAGGGUUCCUGUCCAACGUUAAUCGGGGCAGGGUGAGUCGACCCCUAAGGCGAGGCCGAAAGGCGUAGUCGAUGGGAAACAGGUUAAUAUUCCUGUACUUGGUGUUACUGCGAAGGGGGGACGGAGAAGGCUAUGUUAGCCGGGCGACGGUUGUCCCGGUUUAAGCAUGUAGGCUGGUUGUCCAGGCAAAUCCGGAUAAUCAAGGCUGAGGUGUGAUGACGAGGCACUACGGUGCUGAAGUAACAAAUGCCCUGCUUCCAGGAAAAGCCUCUAAGCAUCAGGUAACAUCAAAUCGUACCCCAAACCGACACAGGUGGUCAGGUAGAGAAUACCAAGGCGCUUGAGAGAACUCGGGUGAAGGAACUAGGCAAAAUGGUGCCGUAACUUCGGGAGAAGGCACGCUGGUGUGUAGGUGAAGUCCCUGCGGAUGGAGCUGAGACCAGUCGAAGAUACCAGCUGGCUGCAACUGUUUAUUAAAAACACAGCACUGUGCAAACACGAAAGUGGACGUAUACGGUGUGACGCCUGCCCGGUGCCGGAAGGUUAAUUGAUGGGGUUAUCCGUAAGGAGAAGCUCUUGAUCGAAGCCCCGGUAAACGGCGGCCGUAACUAUAACGGUCCUAAGGUAGCGAAAUUCCUUGUCGGGUAAGUUCCGACCUGCACGAAUGGCGUAAUGAUGGCCAGGCUGUCUCCACCCGAGACUCAGUGAAAUUGAACUCGCUGUGAAGAUGCAGUGUACCCGCGGCAAGACGGAAAGACCCCGUGAACCUUUACUAUAGCUUGACACUGAACAUUGAGCCUUGAUGUGUAGGAUAGGUGGGAGGCUUUGAAGCGUGGACGCCAGUCUGCGUGGAGCCAACCUUGAAAUACCACCCUUUAAUGUUUGAUGUUCUAACGUUGGCCCCUUACCGGGGUUGCGGACAGUGUCUGGUGGGUAGUUUGACUGGGGCGGUCUCCUCCCAAAGCGUAACGGAGGAGCACGAAGGUUAGCUAAUCCUGGUCGGACAUCAGGAGGUUAGUGCAAUGGCAUAAGCUAGCUUGACUGCGAGCGUGACGGCGCGAGCAGGUGCGAAAGCAGGUCAUAGUGAUCCGGUGGUUCUGAAUGGAAGGGCCAUCGCUCAACGGAUAAAAGGUACUCCGGGGAUAACAGGCUGAUACCGCCCAAGAGUUCAUAUCGACGGCGGUGUUUGGCACCUCGAUGUCGGCUCAUCACAUCCUGGGGCUGAAGUAGGUCCCAAGGGUAUGGCUGUUCGCCAUUUAAAGUGGUACGCGAGCUGGGUUUAGAACGUCGUGAGACAGUUCGGUCCCUAUCUGCCGUGGGCGCUGGAGAAUUGAGGGGGGCUGCUCCUAGUACGAGAGGACCGGAGUGGACGCAUCACUGGUGUUCGGGUUGUCAUGCCAAUGGCACUGCCCGGUAGCUAAAUGCGGAAGAGAUAAGUGCUGAAAGCAUCUAAGCACGAAACUUGCCCCGAGAUGAGUUCUCCCUGAGACUUUAAGUCUCCUGAAGGAACGUUGAAGACGACGACGUUGAUAGGCCGGGUGUGUAAGCGCAGCGAUGCGUUGAGCUAACCGGUACUAAUGAACCGUGAGGCUUAACCUUACAACGCCGAAG
rnacentral:rRNA from 1 species